AGGAAUGUAGCUCAGUGGUAGAGCACUUGCCUAGAAUGCAUGAAGCUCUGGGUUUGAUUCCCAGCACCCCAC
rnacentral:tRNA from 1 species